GCCGAAAUAGCUCAGUUGGGAGAGCGUUAGACUGAAGAUCUGAAUGUCCCUGGUUCGAUCCCGGGUUUCGGCA